UACGUAGGGGGCAAGCGUUGUCCGGAAUCAUUGGGCGUAAAGCGCGUGUAGGCGGCCAGAAAAGUCCGCUGUGAAAACUCGAGGCUACAACUUCGAACUGUCGGUGGAAACUUUCUGGCUAGAGUCCGGAAGAGGAGAAUGGAAUUCCUGGUGUAGCGGUGAAAUGACGCAGAUAUCAGGAAGAACACCCGUGGCGAAGGCGGUUCUCUGGGACGGUACUGACGCUGAGACGCGAAAGCGUGGGGAGCGAACAGG
rnacentral:rRNA from 1 species